GGGAAUGUGGCUUAGUGGUAGAGUGCUUGCCUAGCAAGCAUGAAGCCCUGGAUUCGAUUCCUCAGUACCA
rnacentral:tRNA from 1 species